rnacentral:misc_RNA from 1 species
ACAAGUAUAUAUUGUACGCUCGUAUUCUUAGGAGACUUCGGAUGCGCUCACCAUCUGGACUCGUUAACGAAUACUGUAAAAAUGACCCGCUACUACCCGACUAUUUUCACUCUUGUAAUCUUUCAAGGCACAUUUCUUGGGCUCGUAGCGUACGAUGCAGACAAUGCCACCGCUCUUUAUGCUGCAUUCAGCGACCUCCUCAAUGUUUAAAUAAAAGAUGUAAAGAAAUACAAUGAAAAAAACAUUUUUCAGAAACAACCGGAGAAGGGCCAGUAAUGACACAGGAAUAGGGAAGCCAAAUGUCUACGAUUUACAUGCGAAACUGGCAAAUUGCACCGAGACACAAGUCCCGCCCGGUCCAUGCAUGCAGGUGCCGAAUUGGCCAGGACUAGAUAACGUCACGAAGGUACUCUGGGAGUACAGUUACCCAGGGCAGUGUGGAAUUUUUUUCUUUUGGAAGUUUGAACAUCGAUACUGUGAGCUCCACAUUCGAGAAGAAGGACUUCCAGGGCCAAAAACGCACGACAUCUACCAUGUUUGCCAGACAUUAUAUAGAUACACCUGCGAAUACAAUUUCACAGUGCCAGCAGGUUACAAUGUGUCAAUGCAUUAGCAUGUUAAAUAAAAAUGCAACUUAACGUCUGUAAGAGUUCUUUGAAAAGCUUAAGCUAAAAUACCGGUUGUGUAUCAGCUGUAAAUAACGCUGAGCAUGCCACUGUAUAAGAAAGGGAAAAUAGAC